GACGAACGCUGGCGGCGUGCUUAACACAUGCAAGUCGAACGAAGAGCGAUGGAAGCUUGCUUCUAUCAAUCUUAGUGGCGAACGGGUGAGUAACGCGUAAUCAACCUGCCCUUCAGAGGGGGACAACAGUUGGAAACGACUGCUAAUACCGCAUACGAUCUGACCUCGGCAUCGAGGAUAGAUGAAAGGUGGCCUCUACAUGUAAGCUAUCACUGAAGGAGGGGAUUGCGUCUGAUUAGCUAGUUGGAGGGGUAACGGCCCACCUAGGCGAUGAUCAGUAGCCGGUCUGAGAGGAUGAACGGCCACAUUGGGACUGAGACACGGCCCAGACUCCUACGGGAGGCAGCAGUGGGGAAUCUUCCGCAAUGGACGAAAGUCUGACGGAGCAACGCCGCAUGAGUGAUGACGGCCUUCGGGUUGUAAAGCUCUGUUAAUCGGGACGAAAGGCCUUUUUGCGAAUAGUGAGAAGGAUUGACGGUACCGGAAUAGAAAGCCACGGCUAACUACGUG
rnacentral:rRNA from 1 species